GACCAGGGAGUUAGGGAAUUUGGAAGUCCAAGAAUUAGAUGUGAAGAACCAAUCAAGCCUUUCUAGAAGAGGAGGGAACUGUUUAUUAGUCCAAGUAAAGUGUCUUCCAUGUAGUGGUAAUUCAAUCAGCCCAAGCCUACUGAUAGCCUCAUUGAAGGCAAACAUUUCAUUUGGAUUAGCCCCUUCUUUAUUCCUAUCUUCUGGCCUUCUGAUUAGGUUGAAAUCCGCCACCACCAACCAAUCAACAUCAUCAGGCAUAUCAAUCCCACCAAACCAGUUUAGGAAUUCCAUCUUUCCAGC
rnacentral:lncRNA from 1 species